GCAAGCAUAACACAUUUCAGCCUAAUAAUUUUCCACGAUUGUUUUUAACGGCUGCUUAUCGCCUCUUGAUAAGCGCAUGCGCACACGCAGUAAUUCCCAUCCCCCACCCCUGACUUUUCAACUCCAGCCAGAGUGACUUCACUUCAACCGUCACUUUUCAAUCAUGAAUCUGACUGCAAUUUUCAACUCUGUACAAACAUCAUAUUCAAGUAGGUGGUGUGAGGACUGCUGCCCUGAGAACGCUGUGUCAGAGACACUUAGGCUGUGUGCAUUUUGGAAUGUUCCAAAUGUGUGUCACUUCCAUAAGGAAGAAGUUCCAAGCCUGCAAUUUAUCCCCUCCUUUCAUGUGUCUGUUAUGACUUUGUGGGCUCAACUGUCAACAACUGUCCAGGGCGAAGUCGGUCUACCCUGAUGGCACUACCUGAUGGCACUACCCUGAUGAUGUCUGUUAGCCAUGGCUGCUGCCCUCAACAUGGUGAGCCAUCCAGAAGUCCCAGCCUGGAGCCAGAGGCUGCUAUUGCAAGUCAGAUGGGAGAUGGCCUACAGUAUGUUAGGCAUCAGAAAAGUGGUGUUCGCAUGAAGGCAGAGUUGCCGCAGGCAAUUAUGAGAUUAGACACUUGACAUUUACUGCGAAAGGUACCAUCAGAGCACCUCUCCCUACCCUGCAGGAUACCUAUACCAGAAGAGUACAACAACGGCCCAAAAGUAUUUCAAAAGACAUUUCACGCUCUGACCACGGACUGUUUAAACCACUGAGGUCAAGCAGACGUCUCUGUUCCCACGUGGCAGACUGAGGGAACACCCACAAAACAGACUGGGGAUGAGUUUCUUUACUCCGCAUCCUGUACACACACAACUCCUUAUACUACAUUACAUAGACUUGCCAGUUGCCAUACUGCACUUACACACACUGCGCUUUUAACCCCCUUAUCUGUGUCAAAUCAGAUAAGGUUGUGGUUGUGUUCAAACCAUGUCUACUGUUGUCUGUCAACAUCCACU